GGUUAAAUUAUGAUAUGUUAGGUUAAAUUAUGGUAUGUUAGGUUAAGUUAUGUAUGUUAAGUUAUGGUAUGUUAGGUUAAGUUGUGUAUGUUAGGUUAUAG